rnacentral:rRNA from 1 species
UACGGGGGGGGCAAGCGUUGUUCGGAAUUACUGGGCGUAAAGGGCUCGUAGGCGGCCAACUAAGUCAGACGUGAAAUCCCUCGGCUUAACCGGGGAACUGCGUCUGAUACUGGAUGGCUUGAGAUUGGGAGAGGGAUGCGGAAUUCCAGGUGUAGCGGUGAAAUGCGUAGAUAUCUGGAGGAACACCGGUGGCGAAGGCGGCAUCCUAGACCAACACUGACGCUGAGGAGCGAAAGCCAGGGGAGCAAACGGG